AGGUUACUAUGCCUGUUUGCGGGGAAUGAACCACCUGGAUGCCUUCCUCAAGAAGACGGUGUGUAACUGUCAGAUAGUGAACCUGGGGGCAGGGCUGGACACCACUUUCUGGAGGUUAAAGGAUGAAAACCUCGAAACCAAGUCGACUUUCCGAUGAUUGCUGGCAGGAAAAUACACAACAAAAAAUGGCCACAGCCUAGACUCCAACAGGCACUGCAUCAUCAGUGCUGACCUCAGGGACAUCCCAGGCCUAGAUGACAAACUGAAGAAGUUCCACCUCAACCCAGAAGAAUAGAGCAUCUGGAGUUUCUGGAUGAAAAGGAACUUCUGCAGCAGCUUCUCCAACACUCAGUAUCUGCUGGGCCACCAAGGACAAGUUCAAGCAGGAGUCUCACAAGUUGCUUUCUGAACCUGGACUGUCUUGUCUUAAGCCUCUUUCUCUGUGCCAUGACCAACACUAUCAAGAGAGGAGAGAAAAAACCCAACAACACCUUCACAUCAGACUCAAGCCUUGUCUGCUCUGUGGGAAAUGCAUGGCAUCAGCAGAAUUCUACUGAAUGUGUUUCCGUUGCAUCCCAUAAGAGCAACCACUGUCUCCCAACAUGCUUUUGUGAAGAGAAGGGAUGUUUCUGCUGGAAGUGUGAUACAGUGCAUUCGGAAAGUAUUCAGACCCAAUGACAUUUUCCACAUUUUGUUAUGUUAAAGCCUUAUUCUAAAAUUGAUUACAUACAUUUUUUUCCUCAUCAAUCUACGCACAAUAC